rnacentral:rRNA from 1 species
AACGAACGCUGGCGGCAGGCCUAACACAUGCAAGUCGAACGCCCCGCAAGGGGAGUGGCAGACGGGUGAGUAACGCGUGGGAACGUACCCUUCGGUUCGGAAUAACCCGGGGAAACUCGGGCUAAUACCGGAUACGUCCGCAAGGAGAAAGAUUUAUCGCCGAAGGAUCGGCCCGCGUCGGAUUAGCUAGUUGGUGGGGUAAUGGCCCACCAAGGCGACGAUCCGUAGCUGGUCUGAGAGGAUGAUCAGCCACACUGGGACUGAGACACGGCCCAGACUCCUACGGGAGGCAGCAGUGGGGAAUAUUGGACAAUGGGCGAAAGCCUGAUCCAGCCAUGCCGCGUGGGUGAAGAAGGCCUUAGGGUUGUAAAGCUCUUUCAGCGGGAAGAUAAUGACGUACCCGCAGAAGAAGCCCCGGCUAACUUCGUGCCAGCAGCCGCGGUAAC